UACAGAGGUCCCAAGCGUUGCUCGGAAUCACUGGGCGUAAAGGGUGCGUAGGCGGGUCUUUUAAGUCAGGGGGUGAAAUCCUGGAGCUCAACUCCAGAACUGCCUUUGAUACUGAGGAUCUUGAGUUCGGGAGAGGUGAGUGGAACUGCGAGUGUAGAGGUGAAAUUCGUAGAUAUUCGCAAGAACACCAGUGGCGAAGGCGGCUCACUGGCCCGAUACUGACGCUGAGGCACGAAAGCGUGGGGAGCAAACAGGG
rnacentral:rRNA from 1 species